rnacentral:tRNA from 1 species
GUCGCUGUGGCCAAGCUGGGUAAAAGGCGUCAGACUCGUAAUCUGAAAAAUCGGGGGUUCAAAUCCCCCCAGCGGCUCCA